CCUGAAGUCAGCAUUCCUGACAUCGCUGGACAAUCACACCCAGGGGUUGCUAAAGAUGUACAGAGCCAAAAGCAAGACUGGGAAGGUGGAACAACUUGGAUGAACUUCUGGAACAACUGGAUGCCCAGACCACAGAUCUAACUACUCAUUGAAGGUCUGCUGUUCUUAGUGGUCUUCCCCUGUACUUGAGAGAGCCAGCUUCAAUUUCAAAGACUAUUAAGGAUACUGAGGCAUUGGGGCCACACACAAAGGCCAUGAAAAUGAAGUGACUGACAGUUCUACCAACUCAGGACCUUAUCCCACAGUGGUCAACGUGGCUGUAGUAGUGGAGGAGGAAGUUGUCAUGGACAAUCUGGGAGACUUCACAAAUUCCCUCAUGAUGUUUGUUUCGGCACUGGUUGAAUACUUGUGUAAUAUUUUACUUGAGCCUAACAGGCAAAUUCAUAUGUAUUUAAAUAAAUAAAUAAAAUGUUUUUUUU